CCUACGGGAGGCUGCAGUGGGGAAUAUUGGACAAUGGGGGCAACCCUGAUCCAGCCAUGCCGCGUGUGUGAAGAAGGCCCUCGGGUUGUAAAGCACUUUCAGUGAGGAAGAACGCCUGGUGGUUAAUACCCAUCAGGAAAGACAUCACUCACAGAAGAAGCACCGGCUAACUCCGUGCCAGCAGCCGCGGUAAUACGGAGGGUGCGAGCGUUAAUCGGAAUUACUGGGCGUAAAGCGCGCGUAGGUGGCUUGAUAAGCCGGUUGUGAAAGCCCCGGGCUCAACCUGGGAACGGCAUCCGGAACUGUCAAGCUAGAGUGCAGGAGAGGAAGGUAGAAUUCCCGGUGUAGCGGUGAAAUGCGUAGAGAUCGGGAGGAAUACCAGUGGCGAAGGCGGCCUUCUGGACUGACAAUGACACUGAGGUGCGAAAGCGUGGGUAGCAAACAGGAUUAGAUACCCGGGUAGUC
rnacentral:rRNA from 1 species